UGUUUACUUACCGGUAACAUAUAUUUAUUGGAGGUGCAGGUCUGUUCCAGUGCAGUAUAACAGGCCUGGUGUUUAGGAUGGAGGGAGAAGGAGAGGUGCUCUAUAGGACAGUCCCCUGGGACAGGAGGCUUCUAUCCCAGAGAAGCAAGAGACCUGCAGGACCCCUGUUCAUGUUUAGAUGCCUUAAGGGGUCUGUCAGUCAACUACACCUCCCACACUGUCAGAUGCAAUCUGGUGGUGGAUGUGACUUCCUGUCUGUAGCCCAUGUGACUGAUGACUGAGUUUAUCCCUCCUCUUGACACAACAGACACACAUGUCAUAAUAUACAUCACUGGAUUCUGUCUCGGUGCGGGAGGUGAUUGAAAGGGAUGGAAUUAGAGAAAUUCAAACAACUUCUCAGUGUAAACUAACCCCGAAGCAAGAAUACACCCUCUCCACUUAUUCUGCAGAUGGACAUCGAAUACAACCAAACGCAAAUCUGGGAUAUUUUUGAAUAACAAUUUUUUAUAUUCCUAUGUAACUUUUCAUUUCAUUCUCACUUUUAAUUUCACUGACUACAAAGGU